AUUGGGCAAUGCUCGCAAGGGUGACCCAGCAACGCCGCGUGGAGGAUGAAUGUCGUAAGAUUGUAAACUCCUGUUAGAGGGGAAGAAUAGUACCGGUUGGACCGGUAUAUGACUGUACCCUCAGAGAAAGCUCCGGCUAACUACGUGCCAGCAGCCGCGGUAAUACGUAGGGGGUAAGCGUUGUCCGGAUUUACUGGGUGUAAAGGGCGCGCAGGCGGGAUAAAAAGUCAGUGGUGAAAUCCUACAGCUUAACUGUAGAACUGCCUUUGAUACUUUUAUUCUUGAGUUCGGGAGAGAGAGACGGAAUUCCAGGUGUAGUGGUGAAAUAGGUAGAUAUCUGGAAGAACACCAGUUGCGAAGGCGGUCUCUUGGUCCGACACUGACGCUGAGGCGCGAAAGCGUGGGGA
rnacentral:rRNA from 1 species